AAGUCGUAACAAGGUUUCCGUAGGUGAACCUGCGGAAGGAUCAUUAACCUUAUUACCGGGGCCGGCUGGGAAAACGCGCUCCUGGGCCCUUGGGGCAACCUGGGUGCCCACGCCGUUUUCCCUGUCCGCCUGUCUGAAUCCGUGUUUUUUGCGCACCCACUGUUUCCUCGGCGGGCCUGCCCGCCAGUAGGACCUUUCAAACCCCUUGUAAUUGCAGUCAGCGUCAGAAAAACCUAAUAGUUACAACUUUCAACAACGGAUCUCUUGGUUCUG
rnacentral:misc_RNA from 1 species